rnacentral:rRNA from 1 species
CUGUAGGUGCCCGUACCGCAAACCGACACAGGUAGAUGAGGAGAGAAUCCUAAGGUGAGCGAGAGAACUAUUGUUAAGGAACUCGGCAAAAUGACCCCGUAACUUCGGGAGAAGGGGUGCCAUCGAAAGAUGGCCGCAGUGAAAAGGCCCAGGCGACUGUUUACCAAAAACACAGGUCUCUGCUAAAGCGAAAGCUGAAGUAUAGGGGCUGACGCCUGCCCGGUGCUGGAAGGUUAAGGGGACUGCUUAGAGCGAUCGAAGGCAUGAACUUAAGCCCCAGUAAACGGCGGCCGUAACGAUAACGGUCCUAAGGUAGCGAAAUUCCUUGUCAGGUAAGUUCUGACCCGCACGAAGGGCGUAACGAUCUGGGCACUGUCUCAACAAUAGACUCGGUGAAAUUGUAGUACCGGUAAAGAUGCCGGUUACCCGCAGCAGGACGGAAAGACCCCAUGGAGCUUUACUGCAGCUUGAUAUUGGAAUUCGGCAUUGCAUGUACAGGAUAGGUGGGAGACUGAGAGAAGAGUACGCCAGUAUUCUUGGAGUCACCGUUGGGAUACCACCCUUGUAAUGUUGAGUUUCUAACGACGUGCCGUGAACCGGCACUCGGACAGUGUCUGGCGGGCAGUUUGACUGGGGCGGUCGCCUCCUAAAGAGAAACGGAGGCGCCCAAAGGUUCCCUCAGUGCGGACGGAAAUCGCACGAAGAGUGUAAAGGCAGAAGGGAGCUUGACUGCGAGACAAACAGGUCGAGCAGGGACGAAAGUCGGGCUUAGUGAUCCGGUGGUACCGAGUGGAAGGGCCAUCGCUCAACGGAUAAAAGCUACCCUGGGGAUAACAGGCUGAUACCCCCCAAGAGUCCACAUCGACGGGGGUGUUUGGCACCUCGAUGUCGGCUCGUCUCAUCCUGGGGCUGAAGUAGGUCCCAAGGGUUGGGCUGUUCGCCCAUUAAAGAGGUACGCGAGCUGGGUUCAGAACGUCGUGAGACAGUUCGGUCCCUAUCCGCUGUGGGCGUUGGAGAUUUGAGUGGAGCUGUUCUUAGUACGAGAGGACCGGGAUGGACGUAGCUCUGGUGCACCAGUUGUACUGCCAAGUGCAUAGCUGGGUAGCCACCUACGGACGGGAUAAGCGCUGAAAGCAUCUAAGUGCGAAGCCCCCCACAAGAAAAGAUCUCCUCCAGAAAUGGUAAGACCCGUGAGAGACUAUCACGUAGAUAGGCCUCAGGUGUAAGUGCAGUAAUGUAUUAAGCUGAGAGGUACUAAUAGGUCGAACACUUGACCU